rnacentral:tRNA from 1 species
GCGAAGGUGGUGAAAUUGGUAGACACGUACGCUUGAGGGGCGUAUGAUCCUAGAUCGUGAGGGUUCAAGUCCCUUUCUUCGCACCA